UACGGGGGGGGCAAGCGUUGUUCGGAAUUACUGGGCGUAAAGGGCUCGUAGGCGGCCAACUAAGUCAGACGUGAAAUCCCUCGGCUUAACCGGGGAACUGCGUCCGAUACUGGCAGGCUGGAAUCCGGGAGAGGGAUGUGGAAUUCCAGGUGUAGCGGUGAAAUGCGUAGAUAUCUGGAGGAACACCGGUGGCGAAGGCGGCAUCCUGGACCGGUAUUGACGCUGAGGCGCGAAAGCGUGGGGAGCGAACAGG
rnacentral:rRNA from 1 species